GUUGCUUCCAGAAAUGUUUUAAAGCUCAAGGUAAUUUAGAAGUUGAGAAAUAAGAUAAAUUAAGAUUUUACAUUUUAUUUUCAAGUGGUGUAAAAGGAGAAAGGUGAAGGGCUUUUUUUAAAUUAAGGUAGUGGAUGACAGCUGAAGAAACUGCUGCUUUUGUCUAAAGAUGGCUCUCUUCCUUUACUCAGAAAAGAAGAAUUGUAGCUGUAUGAAAUGGAAAUGAAAUGUGGAUUUCAAAUGCAACUGUGCAAAUUCAUGAAAUGAGAAGUCUAUCUGAAGCUAUUAGGAAAUGACAUUAUGGAACACAGAACCACACUGAGCAAGCUGUUCCAAACACAAAGGGAUUUAUCCUGUGCAUAGGGAAGUGAGAAGUUGGAGGGGCAAAUAAGAUCUCCUAAUUUCCAUGUUUCUUCUGUUUGUUGGAGGGUUUGAGGGGGGAAGCUGUGCACUGGAUAAGGAGAGAAGCAAUAAUCUUUAUUUCCCAGAUCUUGUAGAAAAAACUUUGGUUUAAGAACACCAUCACACUGUUGUUAUUGGGAGCUUUGAAGAUGUGAAUUUAAAAACACAAAAGAAAAUAACUAAAAAACUGGUAAGUAGAAGGAAGAGUGAACAGGAUAGUUAAUGAAAAUAAGAGUUGUACUAAAAUGAAGAUAAGAAAGGCUUAGUGAGCUUUUUCUGUGGAAAAGCAGUUAUUGUGUGGUGGGGAAAAAGGGAAAGAUCAGAGGCACUUUUAAAAAGCCAGAUGCAUUAGUGGAAGAAUGUUAAGAACCAAAGGUUUAAAAAUAAUCAUAAGUCGAGUCGUUGAGAUUUUACUUCUUCAGAG
rnacentral:lncRNA from 1 species